rnacentral:rRNA from 1 species
AAGUCGAGCGAAGCUUUUCAGUAGUUUACUACAGAAAACGACUGAGCGGCGAACGGGUGAGUAACGCGUGAGCAAUCUACCUUAGUUACAGGGAUAGCCCGAGGAAACUCGGAUUAAUACCUGAUAUUCUUUAAAUUUCGCAUGAAAUUAAAAGGAAAGGUCAGCCGAACUAAGAUGAGCUCGCGUUCUAUCAGCUAGUUGGUGAGGUAAAAGCUCACCAAGGCAACGACGGAUAGCUGGUCUGAGAGGACGAUCAGCCACACUGGGACUGAGACACGGCCCAGACUCCUACGGGAGGCUGCAGCAGGGAAUAUUGCGCAAUGAGCGAAAGCUUGACGCAGCGACACCGCGUGUGGGAUGACGGAUCUAGGUUUGUAAACCACUUUCAGGAGGGAAGAAAAUGACGGUACCUCCACAAGAAGCCCCGGCCAACUACGUGCCAGCAGCCGCGGUAAUACGUAGGGGGCGAGCGUUGUCCGGAUUUAUUGGGCGUAAAGAGCUCGUAGGCGGUUCAACAAGUCGGUCGUAAAAGUUCAGGGCUCAACCCUGAAAUGUCGAUCGAUACUGUUGUGACUAGGAUACGGUAGAGGUGAGUGGAAUUCCGAGUGUAGCGGUGAAAUGCGUAGAUAUUCGGAGGAACACCAAUUGCGAAGGCAGCUCACUGGGCCGCUAUCGACGCUGAGGAGCGAAAGCUAGGGGAGCAAACAGGAUUAGAUACCCUGGUAGUCCUAGCUGUAAACGAUGGAUACUAGACGUAGGAACUGGAUUGACGGUUUCUGUGUCGUAGCUAACGCGUUAAGUAUCCCGCCUGGGGAGUACGGUCGCAAGACUAAAACUCAAAGGAAUUGACGGGACCCCGCACAAGCGGCGGAGCAUGCGGCUUAAUUCGAUGAUACCCGUAGAACCUUACCUGGACUUGACAUAUAGGGUCAAGCUAUAGAGAUAUAGUGUGCAUUAGCGCCC